GGCCUUGCCAAAAGCUGACUGAGACAGAGGGAGAUACUUGCAUGGAACCAUUGGACUGAAGUCCAGGGACCCCUAGUUUGAAUUGGGGAAAGGAUUGAAGAAGCUGAAAGGGCGAGCAACCCCAUAGGAAGACCAGCAGACUCAACUAAUCCGGACCCAUGGUGACUCCCAGAGAAUGAGCCACCAGGAGUAUACACAGGCUGGUCAGAGGCCCCUGGCAUAUAUACAGCAGAUGUCUGCCUGGUCUGGUCACAGUAAAAGAAAAUGAACUUAAUCCUGGAGAGACUUCAGGCUGCAGGAAGGGGGCUUCAGUGAAGGGGAGGCCUUGUGUGCGGGAGCACCCUCUUAAGAAGCAAGGGGGAGGAGGAAUAGGAUGAUGAACUGUGGGAGGGGGACCAAGAAGGGGCAACGACUGGAAUGUAAAUAAAUAAAAUAACAAAAUAUAAAAAAUAUAUUAGGUAAUAAAUGUGGUAUAUUUUUAAAGUAAUUUGGGGGAAACUUUUUUGUAUCCUUGUACUUCCAUUUUUGCCUGGGGGAUGAGCAGGUCUUAAGUCAGAAAGGAACCUAAGAAUAAUUUAUCUUAUUUUUGAUUGUUGAGUUGAAUAAAUUACUGAGUCACCCCAAUAACUGCAUUUUGAAAGCAACAGUAUUCUGCAAAUGAAAAUAACACAUAUUGAUUUUAGGAACAGGAAUGGCAUUCUCAAGUCAGGUACAUGGUAAUAUAACUCUUCAUAAACAAAAUGUAUAUCUGAAUGUAUUAAAAUUGCCAUGAAACCAGAAAAAAAACAAAGAUGUUUUCAAGGCAAUUCUGAUAUGAAAUAGCUAAGAGCAAACAGUAUUUGAAAAUUCAGAUAUACUAUAGAUAGACAGAUGGUUUUUUAAAAUAAAAAACAGAGAUCCACAGAAUAUUGCAAUUAAAGUUUGUUUUAUUAUUAAAAGAUAUUUUUGGCAAUAAGACACGUCUGUCCCUGUCAGGAUCUCCUGUCUACUCCAAAGAUAAUGAGCAUCAAAGAACCUUCUUCAUAUGGCAUUUGCUUCAAAUGUGAAAAGAUGCCCCUGGUCAAAAAAACAAACAAACAAACAAAAACAAAAACAAACAAAAACUUUUCUUGUUUCAACUGCAGAUAGAAUGCUGUCCAAUCCUGACAAACAGAACACAGGUUAGCUGACUGCUGUUUUGCCAAGACAAGGACAAGGAAACCAGUGAUGUCCCAGGCAAGGAAGUAGAAGAUACAUUUUUGUACAAGAUAAUCUGGAAAAGGUCAAUGGGCCUUCUGCAAAAUGAGUUGUAGAGAACUGUCUGUCAAAGUCAUGAGUAUGAUGUCACAUCAGACUGCCGUCCAAGCCAGCUCAAGCAUUGUUCUUUAUAAAAAUCUGUGAAAUUCACUUCAUCUGUUUAAGCAUGAGAAUAUAAGAAUAUUUAAGAAUACCAGUUUGCUACUGAAGACAGCACCUACCCAGCCCUUUGAACAUGGAAAAUUCAAGCCAGUGGCUACAUAAAGCCUCACUUGUACUCACUUUCACCUUUUCAUGUAAGAAGACAGUUUUCACAUUGCUGAGGGGGAAAUGUAAAUGCCCACCAGUCACAAAACUUUUGGUCCACAAUGAUCACCUUCCUGAAAAAUAUGCUAGUGAAAUGGUGGCAUACAGCUGGUGGGAGUAACCAACCAAUAUCUAAUUUGGCUAAAGGUUCAAUCCAUGAGAUGGCACCCAUACUCAACACUGUUUGAGAGCCCGACAACCUGAGACAGCCCAGGGUCCUACAAUAAAACAAAAUACUACUAUUCUACUAAAAGAACAUAGAAAUAAUAGAAUUCUGAAUGACAUUAUGCUACCCUCACAGAUUAGACACUUGCUCAGACAUCAUGAGAGAACUUUCCUCUUGAAAUAGAUAAUGGACUGCAUAGUUUUCUGUCAACUUUAUACAACUGAAGACACUUGAGAGAAGGAAACCUCAAAUGAGAAUUUGCCUCUUUAAAAUUGGGCUGUACCAAGCCUGGAGGUCUUUUUUUUAAAUUUGUGAUUGAUAUUGAAGGGCAUAGCCUAUUGUGAGUGGUGCCUUCUCUGGGUUGAUAAUAUUGAAACCUAUAAGAAUGUAGGCUUGGGCAAGCCAUGGCGAUCAAACCAUUAAAAAGAACCUAUCCGUAGUCUUUGCAUCUGCCCUGGCCUCUGAGUUCCUGCCCUUUUUGAGUUUCUAUUCUGACUUCCUUCAGUGAUAGACAAAAUAUAGAAGUAAAAGCCUUUCCUCCCCAACUUGCCUUUGGUCAUUUUGUUUUAUCCAGCAAUGGCAACUCUAAGACAUAUUAGAACAAAUAUAGAGACCCACAGCCAUAUAAAAUGUAGAGGUUGAGAGAUCAUGUCAUACUCAGCUCCAAAUGGGAUGUCUCCUCUCUGUACCCAUGAAAUCCUGAAGUAGCAGAGCAGAAAAUGUCUAAGAGUCAGAGGGCAUGGAAGACUCCCGGGAAAUAAUAACCUCUAAAUCAACAGUAUCGACACCCAUAUGAAAUCACCGAGACUGAAGCUACACGCACAAGGAGUCCAUGAGUUUGUAUGAAAUGAAGUCUUCAUGCUUAAUGGAGUAGUGGACAUAUGCCUUCUCCCUAGCCCAGAAGCUAUCUCCAAAUCAUAAUCACUUAAAAUUGCAAAUAAAGUCUUCAGGAAGCUCACCUGGAAACCAAA